GACAGAGGAUGCAAGCGUUAUCCGGAAUGAUUGGGCGUAAAGCGUCUGUAGGUGGCUUUUUAAGUUCGCCGUCAAAUCCCAGGGCUCAACCCUGGACAGGUGGUGGAAACUACCAAGCUAGAGUACGGUAGGGGCAGAGGGAAUUUCCGGUGGAGCGAUGAAAUGCGUAGAGAUCGGAAGGAACACCCAAGGCGAAAGCACUCUGCUGGGCCGACACUGACACUGAGAGACGAAAGCUAGGGGAGCAAAUGGG
rnacentral:rRNA from 1 species